rnacentral:rRNA from 1 species
CCUACGGGGGGCUGCAGUGGGGAAUAUUGGACAAUGGGCGAAAGCCUGAUCCAGCCAUGCCGCGUGUGUGAAGAAGGCCUUCGGGUUGUAAAGCACUUUCAGUGGGGAAGAAAGCCUUGGGGCUAAUACCCUCGAGGAAGGACAUCACCCACAGAAGAAGCACCGGCUAACUCCGUGCCAGCAGCCGCGGUAAUACGGAGGGUGCGAGCGUUAAUCGGAAUUACUGGACGUAAAGCGCGCGUAGGCGGUCUGAUAAGCCGGUUGUGAAAGCCCCGGGCUCAACCUGGGAACGGCAUCCGGAACUGUCAGGCUAGAGUGCAGGAGAGGAAGGUAGAAUUCCCGGUGUAGCGGUGAAAUGCGUAGAGAUCGGGAGGAAUACCAGUGGCGAAGGCGGCCUUCUGGACUGACACUGACGCUGAGGUGCGAAAGCGUGGGUAGCAAACAGGAUUAGAUACCCGAGUAGUC